UAAUUGAUAGAGGGGGAUGGCAGCUGCUAAAUAUAUUUUCAUGGGCAAUUUUAAGGGAGAUUCGGCAAUAUAGUUAUAUAUUUUACUCUGGCAUAUACAGCUUCUCAGACAAAAACCUACAGUGGGAAGGUUGAUGGGUUUUAUCAGAGUUGGAAAUUUUGCCAUUUAAUCCUUAAUUCACUGAGUGAGGCCAGGGAUUGAACUCAUAUCUUCAUGGAUACUAGUCAGGUUUGUAACCCACUCAGCCACGACAGGAACUCCCUGUAUUUUUUAAUGAGUAUUUCUUUUGAUGUAAGAGAAAAUACGUACUACAGAAAUUAAAUCCACAUGGUUAGUGCCUACAAGUCAGUAGGCUUUACAUCCUAUUCUCAAGAAAAAAUCUUAUCAAUAGACCAAAUAUAUUCAAAAAUGUUCUUAAGCAUAUCCAUUAACAUUAGGUUGCUUUUUUUUUCUUUGACUCCGAAAGAAAUUAUUCAUAGAUUUAGAAAAAGAAAAAAAAAAAAAACUCUGUGGGUACUUUGAGGCUAGAAAGGAAACUUGUUAUUUGUUGUCUUUUUCUUUUUUUUUUAUGGCUGCAUCCAUGGCAUAUAAUAGUUCCUGGGCUAGGGAUUGAAUCUGAGUUGGAGCUGAAUGUACACCACAGCUGUGGCAGUGCUGGAUCCUUUAACCCACUGUGCUGGGCUGAGGAUUGAACUAGCACUCUGCAGUGACCUGAGCCACCAUAGUCAGAUUUUUAACCCACUGCAUCACAGUGGGAACUCCUGAUUGUUGUCCUUUUGAUAAUAGCCAUUCUUAAAGAUCUGAAUGAUAUCUCAUUGUGGUUUUAAUUUACAUUUCCUUCAUGAUUAGUUAUACACAGAAUCUUUCAUGAGCCUGUUAGCUAUCUGUAUGUCUUCUUUGGAAAAAUGUCUAUUCAGGUCCUUUGCCCAUUUUUUAAACUGUUAUGUUUCUUUUGUUUUAAGUUGUAUGAAUUCUUUUUGUAUUUUGCUUAUUAACCCCUUGUUAGAUAUAUUAUUUGCAAAUGUCUUCUACCAUUAAGUAGGCAGGCUUUUCAUUUGUUGAUAGUUUCCUUUGCUGUGCAAAAGAUUUUAAGUUUAAUUAGAUCCCAUUUGUUUAUUUUUGCUUUUGUUUCCCAUGCCUAAGGAGAAAUAUCCUCCCAAAUAUUGCCAAGACCAAUGUCAAAGAGACUAUUGCCUGUGUAUUCUUCUUGGAGUUUUAUGGUUUCAAGUCUUACACUAAGUCUUUAAUCCAUUUGGAAUUCAUUUUUGUUGGUGGUUUGAGAAAGUAGUCCAGUUUGAUUCUUUUGCAUGUAGCUAUCUGGUAUUCUCAACAUCGUUAAUUGAAGAGACUGUUCUUUCCCUAUUGUAUACUCUUGCCUCUUUUAUCAUCAAUUAACUGACUGUAUAAGUGUGAGUUUAUUUCUGGGCUGUCUGUUCUGUUCCAUUGACUUAUCAGUCUAUUUUUGUGCUCAUAGCAUCCUGUUUUGAUGACUACAGCUUUGUAGUAUGGUUUGAAAUCAGGGCACAUGAUAGUUUCAGCUUUGUUCUUCUUUCUCAAGAUGUUUUUGGCUAUUUGGGGUCUUUUGAGUUUCCAUACACAUUUUAGAAUUAUUUGUUGUAGUUCUAUGAAAAAUGCCAUUGAAAUUAUGUUAGGGAUUGCACUGAAUCUGUAGAUUGCCUUGGAUAAUAUGGUCAUUUUAACAAUAUUAAUUCUUCUAAUCUGUGAGCACAAUGUAUAUUUCCAUUUGUUUAUGCCAUCUUCAGUUUCUUUCAUCAAUGAGCAACAAACCUUGUUUUUAAAUAAGAUCAUACUUUGGAAUACUGAGGAUUAGGACUUCAGCAUAGGAAUUGGGUGAGGGAGGCACAGUUCAAUCCAUAACAAGAGUGUUCACUAAUGACAGAUAAGGGGAAGGGUUUUGGAGGUAGAGAAUGGUUGGGAAAGUGGAUCAGGGUAGUUGACAUCCAGAAUGCUUAAGAUGAUGGAUUACAUGGGGCCUCAUGUUUUUGGUUAACAGGUAAUAAGUAUAUAGGUAUUAUGGCAUCAGACCUGAUGGCAAAGUAUGGAACCAUUGGAUAGGGGUUCUCUCCUGCAGCUCUCAGUAGGAUGGUGGCCAAGGGAGGAGUGAAAUAGCCCUCAGCAUGCUGAUGUCAGGGACAAGAGAAACUCUGAAAUCUUCUUUCCCUCAUUCUGAGGUGAUGUGGUAGACUUGGGGAGGGCCUGUCUCCCUCAGAUUAUGGGGCUGGAAAUACUUCUCCUUAGUAGGAGUUGUGUUGUGGUGGAUAAGACAGGAGAUGGAGAGAAGUGUCUUUGUCAUCUGACGGCAUGGUGAUGUGAAACUUAUUACUCAGAUGCCUUUUUGAAGCUACAGUAUUUUGUCAGCUAUGGAAUCCAGUAUUAUAAAUAAAGGUUCUUAACAUGUUUCAGCAAUAGUGGAACUCAGAUUUCAAAGGGGCGGGUUUAUGCUUAAAGGGAGAAAGUUUACUGGCUAUGAGAAUGUAGGAUUUUUUUUUAAUGUGUUCUUUAUGAUAUGAGGUUUCAAUGUUUAUCAAGACAUGGCAAGACCAGAGUUCCCAUUGUGGCUCCGUGAUAACGAGCCUGACUAGUAUCCAUGAGGAUGCGGGUUCCAUCCCUGGCAUUGCUCAGUGGGUUAAGGAUCCAGUGUUGCUGUGAGCUGAGGUGUAGGUUGCAGACAUGGCUUGGAUCUGGUGCUGCUGUGGCUGUGGUGUGGGCCAGUAGUUGCAGCUCCAAUUAGCUCCCAAGCCUGGGAACCUUCAUAAGCUGCAGGUGGGGUCCU
rnacentral:lncRNA from 1 species